GACAUGGAUGUCCUGCAAUUUGUCAUCCAGCUGCCACAGAAUCCAUUUCCAGUCAAUCGUUUCAUCCUAAUUCCAGUCACCAAACCCAGCAAGACUUAAUUACUAGCUCUUUUUUUUUUUUUUUUUUUUUUUUUUCCUUUUUCCCAGUGCCUUUGCUUCUCCUAGGCUUGGUUUAAUGAGCAGCAAUGUUAUAUCAUGAAAGAAUCUCAAAACACCUAAUGACUCAAUCCAUCAUCAUUAUAACACAUCCAUGCCUACUGCAGAGGAGAUGCUGCUGAGGCUGAGCUGCAACAAUGUCACUUCCACCGAAAGCGAGGAGCCACCUCCUGGGACCAGCCUGAGGGACAAAUCCAGCCUUGAAAAACAGCCAGCAGGAUGACAUGCAGAUCAAAGGGGUAUUGCAGAGCUCAGCUGCAAGAGAUCCCUUAGAGACUUUUAAAAGCAUUUUAGCUCACCCUUAACUUCCUUGAAAUGGAGCACAGGUUCUCUCUGGAAGGAGAAGAAGCGCAGAGUUUGGUACAUGCCCUGAAAAGCACAGGCACCUGAGGAGUAUUGCCAUCUUCUGUACCUGUUUGCUCACUGACUGUGUAAUUUGCAAGAGGUUUAUUAUUCCUGUUGUACCGUUGGGAAAAUUACUCCACAAAUCUCUGAG
rnacentral:lncRNA from 1 species